GCAGGCUCCAUGCACCAGGAGCCCGACGUGGGAUUCGAUCCCGGGUCUCCAGGAUCGCGCCCUGGGCCAAAGACAAGCGCCAAACUGCUGCGCCACCCAGGGAUCCCUGAAAUCUAUUUUUUUAAACAAAAGAUUACUUAAAAAAAAACACACAUAAAACUCUAUUCAUGGGUGCCUGAGCAUCUGCCUUUGGUUCAGGUCGUGAUCCCAGGAUCCUGGGAUCAAGUUCCAUGUCGGGCUCCCAAUGGGGAGCCUCUUUCUCUCUCUGCCUGUGUCUCUGCCUCUCUCUGCGUCUCUAAUGAAUAAAUAAAUAAAAUCUAAAAAAAAACAAAAAACAAAAAAAACCCUCAAAACCCUCUAUUCAUGAGGACAAAGCCUAAAAGGAAAUAACACUUAAUUCUCAUUGUGGUGGCUUGUAACAUUUGUAGAUCAUGGAUUCCCCAUUCCUGCCCACAGAAGAAUCUGAUGAAGAUAAGGAUCUGCCCUUGGAAUGCACAUAACCCAUAUGCCCAUGAAAUACUGCAGAUAGUUUCAGGAGCUCAAGAACAACUAAACUCAUCCACAGGCACCAGAGGUCCUGAGAUGACAACUUUGGAGACUGAAAAGAUCGUUUGUGUUUAUAGCAAGAAGGAAGCAGCGAUCACCAGAAGUCGGUCUGUUUUUCAAGAAUUGUAUCUGUCAGGCUCAGUUCAUUACCUUUGAUGAGGAAGUCAGACUGGUAUGACAAAAGGUAGCAAAGUGUAGCAAGAAUUUGUGGACACACUCAGUAAUCUUCCUUUUGGUGCCCUUAUGGACAAGAUGAAGUGGCUGAGUGAGCUGAGUAAACAGCUGUACCUAUGGAUUGAUGAUUAAUUAAUGGAGCUAUGUCGAUCUGAGCUGAGUUUUCUAGUGGAGUGCCAAGGAGCUCUUACAUAGGUGCUGUGCCAUUCAACAUUUUUAUCAGUAGCCUGGAAAAGCCAAGCCUUACCAGUUUUGUCUUUGAUGGGCCAGAUUGAUUCUAGAUGCCUAGAUGUAUAUAUGCACUUGGUUGUAGAUGGAACUACAUACUAGGAGGGCAGAGGAAGGUCAGAAGACAUUUUGAAGUGAGUGACCAGGUGGUAACCUGAAGGAGAAUAGUAGUCAUGUAACACAAAAAAGCCAAGUAAAGUAUUUGGGAUAUUCAGGGUAACCAACAGAGGACCCAAGAAAGACAGGACACUCAAGAGAUAGUAUGUUUUACCUGGUUUGAAGCGUUGUGAUCAAUGGAUCAAAUAAUAGGAAGGUAAUCUCAGCUUGAUAUAAGAGGAACUUUCAGGCUGUUAGAGUAUAAAAAAAUGCUGACAAUGAAAUUUGAAAGAAAGCAAAUCACUAUGGAUUAAC
rnacentral:lncRNA from 1 species